UCCUUCUUCUGGACCGUGGCCAUUGC
rnacentral:piRNA from 1 species